GUAACGUCUCACAUGGUCACCGGCAGAUCUGAGGGAACUCAAUCGGGACUCUAACCCUGAAUAAGCACAGAAGUGCAACGGACUCGAGUAACAAGCUUCCUCUUUCAUAUACUUGAGGCUGCCACUAGCAGAUACAAGAGACUAAAAACAUCCCUGGCAAACGAAUCGCAAGGGACCUGAACACAGCAAGGACACUGAACGACUCAACACAGAGGCUGGG